CGACGCAGCUAACGCAUUAAGUGCCCCGCCUGGGGAGUACGAUCGCAAGAUUAAAACUCAAAGGAAUUGACGGGGCCCCGCACAAGCAGCGGAGCAUGCGGCUUAAUUCGACGCAACGCGAAGAACCUUACCAAGGCUUGACAUAUACAGGAAUAUGGCAGAGAUGUCAUAGCCGCAAGGUCUGUAUACAGGUGGUGCAUGGUUGUCGUCAGCUCGUGUCGUGAGAUGUUGGGUUAAGUCCCGCAACGAGCGCAACCCUCGUUCUGUGUUGCCAGCAUUUAGUUGGGGACUCACAGGAGACUGCCGGGGUUAACUCGGAGGAAGGUGGGGAUGACGUCAAAUCAUCAUGCCCCUUAUGUCUUGGGCUGCACGCAUGCUACAAUGGCUGGUACAAACGGCUGCAAUACCGCAAGGUGGAGCGAAUCCGAGAAAGCCAGUCUCAGUUCGGAUUGGGGUCUGCAACUCGACCCCAUGAAGUCGGAGUUGCUAGUAAUCGUAGAUCAGCAACGCUACGGUGAAUACGUUCCCGGGGCUUGUACACACCGCCCGUCACGUCACGA
rnacentral:rRNA from 1 species